rnacentral:rRNA from 1 species
AAAUAAGUUAUAUGUUAGAGAAUGAAACCAAACUGGGCUGUAAAAAGCCAUAAGUCACAAUAACCACUCUAACAAAAACAAAUUCCACUCGUGAAAGUUAGGACACAAACUAAGAUUAGAUACCUUACUAUGCCUAACUGUAACACAACAAUUAAACUACCAAUUGUUCGCCAAAUAACUACGAGUAAAAACUUAAAAUUUAAAAGACUUGACGGUACCUCAUAACAGCCUAGAGGAGCCUGUCCAUAACCGAUACUCCACGAUUAACCCAACCCCCCCCUAGCCAAAUCAGUCUAUAUACCGCCGUCGCCAGCCUACCUUAUGAAAGAAAAAAAGUAAGCAAAACAGCCACACACUAACACGACAGGUCGAGGUGUAACUAAUGGGGGGGCCAAGAUGGGCUACAUUUUCUACUACAGAAUAAACGAAUAAACUAUGAAAAAGAAACUGAAGGCGGAUUUAGCAGUAAACUGGGAAUAUAUAUACCCAAUCGAAAUAAAUGCAAUGAGGUGCGUACACACCGCCCGUCAUCCCUGUUGACAAAUAUAAUACAUCCAUAAACACAAAAUUACC